UAAAACCUUGCAUUUCAAGGAAUUCCAAGCUUAUAGGAAGCUUAAUGAGGUCCUCACGAGUCUCGGGGUAGCUCGUUCGAGGAAUUUGGACGUCGGGAUCACGAGAAACGUCGAGUUGCAGUUUUGAUCGGAAUUUCGAAGCUUCCCCGACGUGAUUUCGUGAGAUUUGAAGCUUCAAAUAGGUAUAACGCCAUUCUUCUCACUCUAAGCUUUUUUUUGGUUCAAAUUUCAUGAAAAAUGGUUAAGAAACGAGUGAUAAUAGUGAGUUUGAAAUUUUACCCAGUUUUUCGGCGACCGGCGGCUCGCCGGGAACGAAGACGAAAUAUUCCGUCAGUUUGGACAGAAUAUUCUCACGUUGUCAGUUAGAUUAGAUGGAAUUUGUUAGGUUUAAUGGAAUAUUCCCUAACGGUGGUUAAGGAAUUCGUCAGGUUAGGGCUAAAUGUGGGGGCGCGUUUUGCCGUGGCCUUGCUAGGGUGUGGAAGGUCCAAAAAUAUUUCUAAAAGUAUGGGGAUGUUCCUGAGGUUAUGUAGAUCACUGUGGUAUAUUUAUAUACCUAUCUUGAGCAAUGUAUGAGAAGUUAUUAGCUAGUUUUGUAUAUGUGCUUAAAAAUAACGUUUUUAUAGUUAAUUCGCAUAUAGGUGAGACUUAUCCCGAGGACGAGCGUAUCCAAGGGCGACUCGGGGGCUACAACCCUUUGACUUAUCAGUAAGUGGGCUUUUGUUUUCAGUAUAUAUUUAUAUACUUGAUUUUUUUCCCAGAAAUGUGUUUUAAAUGAAAGUAUGCUUUGUAAUAAUAUGCCAAAUGCCUUUAUAUUCUGAAUAUGCAUUUCAUGGUUGCAUAUAUAUAUAUAAUUGUGGUGCUGUGGAGGCCCAGAUUAGUGCAGGUAAGUUAUGAUUGGUUUAGGUGAACUACGAACGGCUUGAUCCCUAUUUAGGGUACGUAGGCAGUCUAACAAGAGGUUAGAUGCAACCAUUCAAUAAAUGAGAUGAACAUGUUGAUUGUCUAUAUGAGAUAUGAUUGAGAAGUGGUGAGCUCAUAAACCUGCACCCCGACUGAUUGCGAUUUAGCCAGAGAGUUGGCACAAGCCUGUAUAUUAUGUCACCUCCUGCACCAUAUGCUCACAUUGGAUCCAAUUUAGGUUCUCAGUCUUGUCGUACAAACCACUAUAAGUGGUUCCAACUCGUAGGUGACUAACGACUUAUCGCACAGCUAGCAUGAGGGCGUAGCAUUGAGCAUAACUAUAUUACACCCAACCUUGUCGUACAGACCCUUUUUAAUGGUUCCGACUUAUGUGCAGUAUAUUACCGUAUAGGUCAUAGUAGUGACUUGAUAAGCUCAUAUUUAUAUAUAUUUUACAUAAAAUUAACUUGUCUUUUCUUAGUUAGUUCCUUAUAUUUUUGAGCUAUUUACUAUGUUUUGGUGUUUUGUGUGAUUUAUCAAGCAAAGAAAAGAAAAGUAGCACAAGUGAGUUAUUAAGUAACAAAUUCGUCAAAACUGCCUGUGCAGAUUAGCUGACUUUGGAAGCAUGUUACGAACAACUCAAAAUGAAUGAGAGAAUGAGCCUUAUAUUCUUGGAAAGCUACGGAUGUCUAUUUUCUGGAGAAAUUUAUGGAUUGUUAAUAUCAUUUUUCUAGAAGAAGUUAUGGGCAUUGUAACACAAAAAGGUUCAGAAAAGGGCUAAGCAGAUUUGGCUAAUAAAGUGAGAAAGUAUAGACACUUGUUUUGUGUUUUACUUUGUCAUCAACACUCAGCAGCAAAUGGGGUUAUGAUUGCACUCAUUUGGCUUUGGAGCAAGUGGAAAUGCACAGCUAGAAGAUGAACAAGGCACAUGGAAGAAACAUGGACAGCACACACACAAAGAGAAAGGCAUGGCAUGGACAGUUUGACAUGGGCAGAAAAUGGGUGGAUUGUUGGCUGAAAUAAUGAAGAAUAUGUGUGUGCAAAUGCAAAGGAAAAACACACACACAUGGGCAAAGGAAACACACACACAUGGGCAGAAAAUGGGUUGAUUUGUGGCUGAAAUGAUGGAGGUCAUGUGUGUGCAAAUGUAAAGGGAAACAUGGACAUCCACCAUUCCCCUUCCUAAGGAUAAUCUUGAUCCAUCAAAAGAGCUUCAUUCACAAACACAAUUUUCUUGUAGUGACCUCCAUCCAUUCAUCUAGCCAUACUACAUCUCACCAAUCCAUACACUUUCAUCUCUUAGCCAUGCAAAUCCAUUCCAUCCAUUCAUCUAGCCAUACUACAUCUCACCAAUCCAUACAUUUUCAUCUCUUAGCCGUGCAAAUCCAUUCCAUCCAUAUAUCCAUACACAUCCUAGACACUUGUGCUACAACAAGGUGGUGAAAACAAAGGUCCUUGACGUUUCAACCUUGGAACUUUGGAGCGGUUUAGGUGUACUUCGUUCUUGCUUUCAAUGUCUACUUUGUUAUUUUCUAAUUUUGUUGCAAUUAUGAGUGGCUAAACCCUUAUUUAGUUAGGGGGAAGUUUGAAGCCAUGAACAUGCUUGAGAUUUGAAUUGAUUUCUUCCAAUUGUGAUUUGAUAAGUUGUGAUUGCAAUUCAAUUAUCUAUUUUAUUCAUAACUGAUUCUUGUAUGUUUUUAUUAAGGAUGCAUACUUAGUUUUCAUGCAUG
rnacentral:lncRNA from 1 species